rnacentral:rRNA from 1 species
GAUGAACGCUAGCGGCAGGCCUAAUACAUGCAAGUCGGACGGGAUUCAGGAGCUUGCUUCUGCUGAGAGUGGCGCACGGGUGCGUAACACGUAUGUAACCUACCUUUAUCAGGGGGAUAGCCUCUCGAAAGAGAGAUUAAGCCCGCAUAAAAUCACAGCACAGCAUUGUGUAAUGAUCAAAUAUUUAUAGGAUAAAGAUGGGCAUGCGGAACAUUAGCUAGAUGGCGGGGUAACGGCCCACCAUGGCGACGAUGUUUAGGGGAUCUGAGAGGAUGGCCCCCCACACUGGUACUGAGACACGGACCAGACUCCUACGGGAGGCAGCAGUAAGGAAUAUUGGUCAAUGGGCGGAAGCCUGAACCAGCCAUGCCGCGUGCAGGAAGACGGCCCUACGGGUUGUAAACUGCUUUUAGACGGGAAUAAACCCAGAUACGUGUAUCUGGCUGAAUGUACUGUAAGAAUAAGGAUCGGCUAACUCCGUG